UCAGCGGCUCUAGCCUGUCUGGUAACUGCGGCUUAUAUGACCGCAGUCGGUGCUUCCUCACUGCGCUGAGGAGCCGUGCAGGGGCUCCAAGCACCAGCUCUACGGGAAUAACAGCCCAGGGGACCGGGGGGACAGUUGACAUGAGCUGCUGUUAGUCGGUGAAGCUGUGUGCUGGUCAGUGUCCCGUUCUUUCAGGUCCUAGAUGUGUCCAUACUGCAGGCCGGGGAUCCUGGAUGGGAAAGAAGCAGACGAAUGCUUAUUCCAGCACCUGCAGUGAAAACAUAGCACAGGCAAAACACAGAGACUUUCUGCUGGGCAGUAUGAGUACAGACAGACCCAAACGGAAUAUCAUCAGAAAAAGAUAUGACAUCAGUGACGGGAUGCCGUGGUGUGAAGAACGUCUGGUCCGCAAAGUUCUCUUCCUUUCUCUCAGGGAAUUCAGAGACAAACACCGUGCUGCACACAUUCACUCACACAAGUGUCCACAUAAACGCAAGUCAAAAAAUACACACUCACAUGCUCUGCAAAAGACACUGACAAAACCUAAUACACACAAGAAAACACAAGCAAGAAAAAACAUGCACACACAACAACAAAGACUCACAUGCAGACCACUAAAUACAUCCACACAGGAG